rnacentral:lncRNA from 1 species
GGGUGGGCAUCUGAUGACCCCUUGAACAGGUGCUAAAGUCAUUAGGUUGUGGGCAGUGACCAGGUAGCCCAAGGCCCAGGUCAGCAGCUGGACAGCCCUGGGGAAAGGACCCAUGAUUCCCCACUCCGGUGAAGUCUCCCUCUGUCUGAGUGCCACUUUGACCCCCUGGUUUCCCACUCCAGUUUCUGGGAAGAGGGGAUAACUAUGUUCUGCUGCCCUGGAUGCUGGGACUGCUGAGGGAGCAAGGGGGACCAUGCCAGGCUGGAAAGCCCCAUGGAAAAGUGACUGAACCACAGAGAGUCUUGCUUCUGAGGCCCUGCAGGGGCUGUGGCUGCUGUGGCCCCAUCUCUGGUUUGAUUGACCCCCAUGGCCCUAUCUAGAGUCCACACUGAUGCAGCUUUCAGUCUGGGUGGCUGUGAGGCAAGAGAUUAUGGAUUGGGGAGGUGGAGGAGGCUGGGUCAAGGGAGUUAUUGGGUGGACUCCUAGAGGAGAGCUGGGUGCGAACUCCAAUUUGGCCUCCAGCCAUUCCAGCCUACUGCCCUCAUCCCUGCUCUGAGGUCCUGGACACCCACCCCAGCCUCUCUGCUAUUUAGUCUUUUCAUGCUUGUACAUCUAGUGAGGUGUGUGAAAGGCAGAACCUCAUGCUCACUCCUUCAUUCAUUUCCCCAGUAAUUGCUAGACACUGAGCACAAAAUGGCAGCAAAAGAACCAGUGAGGGAGACAGGUGUUAGUCACACAAUCACACAAAUAAGUAUCUAAUCAUAAAAUGUAGGCAAUUGUAGAAAGAUACAGGUGCUGUGAGAGUUUCUAAGAGGGGACUUGACCCAGGAUGCAGGGCUUUACAGGCCUUCAGGAUUAAGGCCGAGUACGUCAUAGGAAGGUUUGAGGCAGUGCGGCAUAGUCUAUUCCUCUUCUUUAUCCAAUGCUGCCAACAAGAUUGAAUAGCUUUCAUUGACUAAUUACCUGGUAUGCGUGAGGUACUCUAUAAAAAUGCAAUCUCACUCCCCUCCUACAACAGCUCGAUAAGCUAGGUGCUAACAUCCUCUUUUAUAGAUGUAGAAACUAAGGCUUAGAGAAACUUAAAACCCAGCCAAGUUCACAGGAGCUGGUUAGUGGCAGAGUCUAGAUUUGAACCCAGGUCUGGCUGUUUUCAAAGCCCACACUCUUGUCACAUCACAUUCUAGUAGGCAUUUAACAGAUGCUUGUUGCACAAAUGGACAUCUCAGGCCAGCUCGGGGGGCUUUGAAGGCCCUUAGGGCCUUAGCAUCCUCCUUCUUGCCCUCAGAAGGAUUGUUUAGUCUGGCACCAGGCAGGGGGUGCCUAUGACAGACUCCUACUCUCUCAGCCCUCCCAAUAACCCUAAAUCCACCAGGAAAGGAGGAAGGACCCUCCUGGAUGAUGUGCCUACCACCUGGGCCUCUGGGAAAGGCCCUGCUUGACUGCCAGCCCCUCUCACUGCCUUCCUUUGGCUUGGACCCUUUGUGACCCAUGUGUUUUUUCCCUGCCCACCCUUUGGGCAUCUCCCAGGCCCCUGGUUAAUUAUUGACCCAGGCGAUAUCUGGGCACUGAUCACUCCAACUGGCAUCAAGCCUUAGCAUCAUUAUUAUUUUGCCUGAUCAAGACCUUCUUGGAGAAGAGGCUGGAAAUUUGCUCCCAACAUACCCAGCAGGAUCUCCAAGGGAGGUUGUCCGGGCCUGGGCAAGAAUUGUAUGGGCAAGGUUGGAUCUGGACUACUGAGUGUGACAUCUGCAGGUUCAACAUUCUGGGGAGACAAGCCAAAGGCUGAGGCGUGAAGAGGGCAGAACAUUUCCCCUGCCUAUGAUGUUUGGGGGAACCUCAAAGAGGCAUCAUUAUUAGAGUACACCGUAAGUGCUCAACUCAUGUUGGAUUUCCUCAAACAAGUUCCAUGCUCACAGGCAAGAAGCCCUCUCUGACUGUCCACUCUCCAAAAGGAGAGCUUCAGACUUCAGGAGAAUUUGGUCCAAGGCCUGUGCUCUGUUCAAAGUAUUUUUCUAUAGCAGCAACAACAACAAACCCUGGAGAGGGGGUAGAAAUCUGGUUUCCAGAAUUUCUGAAUUAUAUUAUUUUAAAUAUCUAGUUUUAACUUCAACAGAAAAUUAUGAGAUAUGUAAAGAUACAAGAAAGUAUGGCCCACACACAAGGGAAAAAAAAGCAAUCAAUAGAGAUUGUCCCUGAGGAUACCCAGACAGUGGGCUUAUUAGGCAAAGACUUUAAAUCAAGUAUUUUAAAUGUGUUCAAAGACUAAAGGAAAUGAAGUCUAAAGAACUAAAGGAAAAUAAGCAAACUAUGUCUCACCAAAUAGAGAAUAUCAACAAAGAUAUACAACUAUUAAAAAAGGAAACAAAUAGAAAUUCUGGAGUCUAAAAGUACAAUAACUGAAAUGAGAAUUUUACCAGAAAGGCUCAACAGUACGUCUGAAUAGUCAGAAUAAAGAAUCAAUGAACUUGAGGGUAAAUCCAUUGAGACUACCCAGCCUGAAUAACAGAAAGGACAAAGAAGAAUGAUCAGAGCUUCAAAGGCCUAUUUAAGAACAAGCAUACCAACACUAGCAUGGUAGGAGUCCAAGGAGAGAGAGAGACAAAGGAGUAGAAAGAAUAUUUGAAGAAAUAAUGUUUGAAAUUUUCCAAAUUUGGCAAAAAACAUUAAUCUGCACAUCCAAGAAACUCAACUAACUCCAAGUAGGAAAACUCAAAGAGAUGCGCACCUAGACACAUCAUAAUUAAGCUUUCAAAAGACAAAGAGAGACUCUCGAAAGCUGUGAGAGAGAAGUGACUCAUACAGUAUAAGGAAUUCUCAAUAAGAUUAACAGCUGAUCUUCCAUCAGAUCCUGGAGGCUAGAAGAUGGUGAGAUGCUAUAUUCAAAGUGCUGGAGGAAAGAACCUGUCAACCAAGAAUUCUAUAUCCAGCAAAACUAUCCUUCAAAAAAUGAAGGCAAAAUUCAGACAUUCCCAAGAAAACAAAAACUAACAGAGUUUGUCACUAAGCAGAUCUUACCUACAAGAAAUACCAAGAGAGUUCUUCUGGCUGAAAUGAAAAUAUACUACAUAGUAACUUGAAUCCACAUGAAGAAAUAAAGAGCAUCAGUAAAGACAUCCACAGGACCACAAAACACCACCUUCUGAGGCAGGAUCUAAACACACAAGGAGUUUGACCAAUUGAACAAAUCACUGUCAUUACCAGCAUUGCCAAUAUCAUAUUGAAAAGAAUAGCGCUGGGUGAGCCUUUUGCUCCUGCUGUCAAGGUGAGGAGCACACGCACCUCCAGUAAGUGUGACAGUGGCUCUUCUCAUAGAAGAAUAAAAAUCUCCACAUCUUAUUUCAAAGCUUUAAUAAGGAAUAAACACUAAACUUCAUUGACUGUCUUUUCAACAACU